AAUCCUACGGGACGCAGCAGCGAGGAAUAUUGGUCAAUGGCCGAGAGGCUGAACCAGCCAAGUCGCGUGAGGGAAGAAUGUCCUAUGGAUUGUAAACCUCUUUUGUCAGGGAGCAAAGUCACCCACGUGUGGGUGUUGGAGAGUACCUGAAGAAAAAGCAUCGGCUAACUCCGUGCCAGCAGCCGCGGUAAUACGGAGGAUGCGAGCGUUAUCCGGAUUUAUUGGGUUUAAAGGGUGCGUAGGCGGAACAUUAAGUCAGCGGUAAAAUCGAGGGGCUCAACCCCUUUAAGCCGUUGAAACUGGUG
rnacentral:rRNA from 1 species